GACGAACGCUGGCGGCGCGCCUAAUACAUGCAAGUCGAGCGAGAACCAGGGCUUGCCCUGGAGAGAGCGGCGAACGGGUGCGUAUCACGUGAGCAACCUGCCUCAGAGACCGGGAUAACUCGAGGAAACUCGGGCUAAUACCGGAUGCCCUCGGUGGACCGCAUGGUCCGGCGAGGAAAUGGAUUCCGCUCUGAGAUGGGCUCGCGGCCUAUCAGCUUGUUGGUGGGGUAACGGCCUACCAAGGCGACGACGGGUAGCUGGUCUGAGAGGACGAUCAGCCACACUGGGACUGAGACACGGCCCAGACUCCUACGGGAGGCAGCAGUAGGGAAUCUUGCGCAAUGGGGGAAACCCUGACGCAGCGACGCCGCGUGCGGGAUGAAGGCCUUCGGGUCGUAAACCGCUUUCAGCAGGGACGAAAUUGACGGUACCUGCAGAAGAAGGCCCGGCCAACUACGUGCCAGCCGCCGCAGUAACAC
rnacentral:rRNA from 1 species